GAUUCCCAGUAAUUAGAGGAAGACAUUACUGAAGCACACAUACACGCAUGGGAAUUUAGAGAUUGUGAUCUAAAGAUAGAAAGAAAGAUGUCACCUUUUAAAAUACACCGGAAAUAUUUGUAUGUAGAAACAGUCUUCACUCAGCAAUUGCUAGUAAAUUUUACAAAUAAUUGUUCAAGGGAAAG